rnacentral:rRNA from 1 species
UACGGGGGGGUGCGAGCGUUGUCCGGAAUCACUGGGCGUAAAGCGCGCGUAGGCGGAUCGCUAAGUCAGGGGUGAAAUCCCAGGGCUCAACCCUGGAACUGCCUUUGAUACUGACGAUCUGGAGAUCGGGAGAGGUUGGUGGAAUUCCGAGUGUAGAGGUGAAAUUCGUAGAUAUUCGGAGGAACACCAGAAGCGAAGGCGGCCAACUGGCCCGAUACUGACGCUGAGGCGCGAAAGCGUGGGGAGCAAACAGG